rnacentral:rRNA from 1 species
UACGUAGGGCGCAAGCGUUAUCCGGAAUUAUUGGGCGUAAAGAGCUCGUAGGCGGUUUGUCGCGUCUGCCGUGAAAGUCCGGGGCUCAACCCCGGACUUGCAGUGGGUACGGGCAGACUAGAGUUCGGUAGGGGAGUCUGGAAUUCCUGGUGUAGCGGUGAAAUGCGCAGAUAUCAGGAGGAACACCGGUGGCGAAGGCGGAUCUCUGGGCCGUAACUGACGCUGAGGAGCGAAAGCAUGGGGAGCGAACAGG